rnacentral:rRNA from 1 species
AUUCCGGUUGAUCCUGCCGGAGGCCAUUGCUAUCAGGGUCCGAUUUAGCCAUGCUAGUCGCACGAGUUCACACUCGUGGCAUAUAGCUCCGUAACACGUGGCCAAACUACCCUUCGGAGACGCAUAACCUCGGGAAACUGAGGCUAAUUCGUCACACGGCUUUCAACCUGGAAUGAUGAAAGCCUCAAACGCUCCGGCGCCGAAGGAUGUGGCUGCGGCCGAUUAGGUAGACGGUGGGGUAACGGCCCACCGUGCCGAUAAUCGGUACGGGUUGUGAGAGCAAGAACCCGGAGACGGAAUCUGAGACAAGAUUCCGGGCCCUACGGGGCGCAGCAGGCGCGAAACCUUUACACUGCACGACAGUGCGAUAAGGGGACCCUGAGUGCACAGGCAUAGUGCCUGUGCUUUUCUGGACCGUAGGGAGGUUGAGGAACAAGAGCUGGGCAAGACCGGUGCCAGCCGCCGCGGUAAUACCGGCAGCUCGAGUGAUGGCCGAUCUUAUUGGGCCUAAAGCGUCCGUAGCUGGCCAGGCAAGUCCGUCGGGAAAUCCACGUGCUCAACAUGUGGGCGACCGGCGGAAACUGCCCGGCUUGGGACCGGAAGGCGCGACGGGUACGUCCAGGG